rnacentral:rRNA from 1 species
AAGAGUGCUUGCAAUCGCUGACGAGUGGCGGACGGGUGAGUAAUGCUUGGGAACUUGCCUUUGCGAGGGGGAUAACAGUUGGAAACGACUGCUAAUACCGCAUAAUGUCUUCGGACCAAACGGGGCUUCGGCUCCGGCGCAGAGAGAGGCCCAAGUGAGAUUAGCUAGUUGGUAAGGUAAAGGCUUACCAAGGCAACGAUCUCUAGCUGUUCUGAGAGGAAGAUCAGCCACACUGGGACUGAGACACGGCCCAGACUCCUACGGGAGGCAGCAGUGGGGAAUAUUGCACAAUGGGGGAAACCCUGAUGCAGCCAUGCCGCGUGUGUGAAGAAGGCCUUCGGGUUGUAAAGCACUUUCAGUUGUGAGGAAAAGUUAGUAGUUAAUACCUGCUAGCCGUGACGUUAACAACAGAAGAAGCACCGGCUAACUCCGUGCCAGCAGCCGCGGUAAUACGGAGGGUGCGAGCGUUAAUCGGAAUUACUGGGCGUAAAGCGCACGCAGGCGGUUUGUUAAGCUAGAUGUGAAAGCCCCGGGCUCAACCUGGGAUGGUCAUUUAGAACUGGCAGACUAGAGUCUUGGAGAGGGGAGUGGAAUUCCAGGUGUAGCGGUGAAAUGCGUAGAUAUCUGGAGGAACAUCAGUGGCGAAGGCGACUCCCUGGCCAAAGACUGACGCUCAUGUGCGAAAGUGUGGGUAGCGAACAGGAUUAGAUACCCUGGUAGUCCACACCGUAAACGCUGUCUACUAGCUGUUUGUGAUUUUAAAUCGUGAGUAGCGAAGCUAACGCGCUAAGUAGACCGCCUGGGGAGUACGGCCGCAAGGUUAAAACUCAAAUGAAUUGACGGGGGCCCGCACAAGCGGUGGAGCAUGUGGUUUAAUUCGAUGCAACGCGAAGAACCUUACCUACACUUGACAUGCAGAGAACUUUUCUAGAGAUAGAUUGGUGCCUUCGGGAACUCU